AUUGAACGCUGGCGGAAUGCUUUACACAUGCAAGUCGAACGGUAGAGGGGGCAACCCCUCGAGAGUGGCGAACGGGUGAGUAAUAUAUCGGAACGUGCCCAGUCGUGGGGGAUAACGUAGCGAAAGUUACGCUAAUACCGCAUACGAUCUAAGGAUGAAAGCGGGGGAUCGCAAGACCUCGCGCGAUUGGAGCGGCCGAUAUCAGAUUAGGUAGUUGGUGGGGUAAAGGCUCACCAAGCCAACGAUCUGUAGCUGGUCGGAGAGGACGACCAGCCACACUGGAACUGAGACACGGUCCAGACUCCUACGGGAGGCAGCAGUGGGGAAUUUUGGACAAUGGACGCAAGUCUGAUCCAGCCAUUCCGCGUGCAGGAUGAAAGCCCUCGGGUUGUAAACUGCUUUUGUACGGAACGAAAAGGUCUCUCUUAAUACGGGGGACUCAUGACGGUACCGUAAGAAUAAGCACCGGCUAACUACGUGCCAGCCGCCGCCGUAA
rnacentral:rRNA from 1 species